UACAGAGUUGACGCUUGAGUUCUCGGGUCUCGCAGUAGGCUUGUUUGGAGGUGGAUCUGUUGAGCGUGGAUUCGAUCGAGGGGCAUAACCGAGUAUCAGGUAAGGGCACAGCGAGGGGCAGACCGACGAGAGGCAGGAAGGACGCGUGAAGGCCAUAUGGACGCGUCUGGUUUUCUUAUCGCUUCCGCUAUGUAUUUUGUCAGAAUAUUUUGACUUGUGAUUUUGAACUGGUGACUUGAGUUUUUAUUUGUGA